UACGGAGGGGGCUAGCGUUGUCCGAAGUUACUGGGCGUAAAGCGCGCGUAGGCGGGUUGGUAAGUCCGCUGUGAAAGCCCGGAGCUCAACUCCGGAGGGUCGGUGGAUACUGCCAGUCUUGAAGGUGCUAGGGGGAGAUGGAAUUACCGGUGUAGCGGUGAAAUGCGUAGAUAUCGGGAAGAACACCCGUGGCGAAGGCGGCUCUCUGGGACGGUACUGACGCUGAGACGCGAAAGCGUGGGGAGCGAACAGG
rnacentral:rRNA from 1 species